GACAGAGGGUGCAAACGUUGCUCGGAAUUACUGGGCGUAAAGGGCGUGUAGGCGGGAAGGCAAGUCGGGCGUGAAAGCCCCAGGCUCAACCUGGGAACUGCACUCGAAACUGCCUUUCUUGAGUGCCGGAGAGGAAAGCGGAAUUCCGUGGUGUAGAGGUGAAAUGCGUAGAGAUCGGGAGGAACAUCAGUGGCGAAGGCGGCCAUCUGGGACCAACACGUGACGCUGAGGCACGAAAGCGUGGGAGCAAACA
rnacentral:rRNA from 1 species